ensembl:lncRNA
ACAGUGAGUUAGUGAGAGUUAGUUACAGUGAGUCAAACCCACUCCCUCCUCCAACUAUGACGGCCUAGACAGAGACUUUAUGCAAGCUUCUUUGAAGUUGGCAGACAGUGAAGGUGAAGAGUGAAGAGUCAGACGCUGUUCUUCUGAAGUUUCACAACUUUUCUGCAUCAGGAUUAAAGUCAGAAUGAAAAUCCUCCAUUUUCUCUUCUUCUGCUUCUUGUCAGGUCCAGCUGGGCUCGUCAAGGCAAAACAUAAUAUUUGGUCUGCAGCUGAAGGACUAAAUGCUACACUUAACUGCAACUUACCUUUGUCUGGAACCACAAAGUUCUUCUGUAAGGAAAAAUGUGAGCGAGAUGAAGAUAUCCUCAUUAAAACAGAUGGAAGCACAGCUCAGAGUGGGAGAUACAGCAUGAAGUAUAAAAAUGGAGCUUCAGGAAGAGGAAUUGUGUUUUUGACCUUCUCACAAAUGAUCAAGUCUGACUCAGGAAUGUACAGGUGUGCUUUGGGAAGACCUUCUGCUCCAGAUUCAUACUCAGACUUCGAGAUGAGAGUUUCAAAGGAUCUAGAUAAAAACGUUGGUUUUUAUCGCACACAAACUGAGGGCGAAAAGAUCACAUUGGUAUUUUCCAACAACACGUAUGGACACAGGAAGUUCUUUUGUAAGAAUCAGUGUAAGAAUGAAGGGGAGAUCCUCAUUGACACAACUAAUAACAAAUCUGCGAGUGGCAGAUACAGCAUUGAAUACAGACCAAGAUCCAUGUAUGGACUGUAUGCAACCAUCAUACAGCUGACCAAGUCAGACACAGGACGAUACAGGUGUGGUUAUGGAAACCCUCUGUCUCCAGAUUUAUACAGCAGUGUAAAUGUUCUCGUCAUUGAUGAUUCAAACCCACCUGCUUCCACACCACAAACAGCAACACAGAGUGAAAGUGUCACUGCAGGAGUCUCUACACAUGGUCCUGACUCCUCCUGGCUUCUGGUUGUGCGUGCGUCCUUGGAUGGUGUUUUGCUGAUGGCUGUUUUCCUCAUGCUCUUCUACAUUAGUAAGACAAGGAGGAACUUUGGACUGAACACCAGAGAAAAUGACACAAACAUGGAGGUGAGUUUGUGUCACUUGUUUUCUGUCUGUUGUUGCAGGUUUCAGUGAGUGUUGUUGAUUCAUGCUGUCAGUUUGACUUUCUCAGUGAAAUGUAGUGAAAAGAGGUGAUGUUACCUGUUAUUAAAGUUUCCUUAAUAAUACCAUCUUCACCAGCAGAGGGAAGUGAAGACAAAGUGAACAAUAUUUAGACCAGACAGAAAUAUUUUCUAUAAUUAUGUAGAUAUAAAACCAUACAACAUAUUUUAUGGUCCUUUAAGGUUAUUCCACAGCAUCAUAAUUUCAUGAUGUCAUAUCUAAAAGUGUGAAAGCACCUUUAGUUCUGUUUCCUGACACUGCAGCACAUGUAAGCUGCUCUGAAGCAAAUCUGUUGAACUUCUUAUGAUAUUUAUAAUGUUACAUGUUUUUGUUUGUUUGUUUCUCUGGAAUAAACUUUGUGCUUCUUAUUG